rnacentral:lncRNA from 1 species
GUCGUUUCGGGAGGUGCCUGGGCAGCUCAUGUUUGGACUGGACUUGUGUGAUGGUUUGGGCCUAUUUUUGUUUUAUUUCUUGGGCCCAAACCGAUUUUCAUCACUUCUUUUCUUUUGUUUUCCCUAAUUUUAAAAAAAAUGAAAUAAAAAUGAAAAAAUGAAAUUAAAAUAAACACAAUGUAACACUUCCACCAAAUUAAAAUGUUUAAGUAAGUUAAAUCACAACCUAGAACGAACGAUGCAUAUAUAUAUAUUUUUUUUUGAAUUUUCUUUCAACGACCGAAUUACGGUUUGAUUACCAUGACAGACAUAAGUUCUAUUUUGAUUGAUAAGAUCAAAUGCAACAUGGACCGAACCACAAAUGACUAACAGCACAUGCCACGAAAAAUCGAAAAAAAUUGUACAGCGGGUCAUUUGUCACUAUUUUUGUUUUCUUUUGGAGCGAUUGUCCGUGAAGCAAAAAUCACGUGCUUACAGUGUUUAUUAGUUAUAUGCUAAUACACUUAGCGUUACAAUUUUAUAAUCAGUUCCACAAAUAAGCCAUGAACAUUCAUGUUACCUUCUCAGGAAAAAGAAAAACUAUGAAGAUUUUCCAUGACUUCAUGUUUCAAGUUAGUUCUUGUCAAAGUUUAUUGAAAGAUGGUAACAUUGUAGCCUUCCAGUUAAAUAUAUGCUAAAAUUGUGGAGUGCCCAAAAGAUUAAAGAUGACCAAGUCUCUCUCUCUGUAUGUGUGUAUUUACCUAAUUUCUCCAUAUGAGCUCUUUCCUACAUGCUAACAAUUAAACAUCACAGUUUCUAUCGCCGGAUAGAUUGUCAAAUCUAAUAGUGAAUAUAGCUUAGCUCAGAAUUCACAUUUUUUUUAAUCAAAAAAGACAAUAAGCUCAUAUUCACAUUUCUUGAUAACAAUAAAAAAAUACAAUGAGCACAUAAUGACCUCCAAACUAUUAAAAUCUCAGCUUUCUCACUAAUCUUUUUAUAAACUAAACAAAACUUCGCUUGUUAGAGAAAUCUCAGAGGAAGCAUAUCAAUACUCUUUCCUCUUAUACAUAAGAAAGACUUAUUUUUUAGAUUAUCCAUAAAAAAGUUUACAUAUUAGUACAUAAAAAAUAUCAUUGAACAUUGCUGGUUUAAACCCCUAUGCGUGGUCCCAAAUACCACCAAAAUUUCAACUGAUAUUAAAUUUUGAACCCAUAAUCUCAACUCAAUGGACAACCAAUUGUCACCCUCUGUAUUUGUUAGUUUUCCUUAUUGGGAAAAUCCAUAUUGAAUAGGAAGGUGCAGAGAACUUCAAUUAAUGGAUGAUCUCCAGAAUAGCAGCAAAGUGGCUACCAAAGCAAUAAAGAGCCUAAACGUUAGAUAGUCGAAGGAAAUCCCAAUUUCUUUUCUAGGUAUUUUUGAAUUUCACAAAACUAACAUAAAAUUACAAUUUAAUUUCAAGCAACAAAUCAGCAAGAACCCAAAAAUAAAACAAUCACAGUCACAUGUAAUGAAAAAAGAUAGAACAAUAAACUAACCUUUCAGCCAUAUGAUUAUGUCAAUUGAACAACUACUGAACUACAAAACCCCAAACAAAACCCUAAUUUUCUGUUACAACGAAGAAGCAGAAGCCAAAGGAAUUCUGAGCGAAGAUCAGCGGUGACUGUGAACCAUGUGAUUAUGUCAAUUUAGCAACUAAUGAACCACAAAAAUCCAAGCCAAACACCAAUUCUUUCUUACAACGAAGAAGAAGGUUGUGGAAUUCUCACCGAAGAGAGGAAAAAGCAUAGCAAAUUUAAUUCUGUACUUUGAAAUUAGAUACAAAUUAGAUAGAGAAAAACAAAGAAGAUGGUUAGAUAGAGAUAGAGAGUGACUUAUCUGUCAUACUGAAGUACCGCAGAUAAAUCAGUAAUGCGCCAGCUGUCAUAUUGAUCACACGCGUUAGCUUUCAGUCAAAUUUAGGAGCAAUAUGAAAUGACCACAAUACCCUUUAGCAGCAAGCAGACAUGACGACCUUCAGCUGCUUCUCUCGCUCUUCUAUAUAUUAUUAGUAAACUAGUGUAGAAUGGCCCGUGCUAAGCCCGGGCCCAAACUUAUGUUGUUUUAUAAAAAGAGUGCAUAAAUUUUUAUGAGAUGUAUAAGUUUUUUGUUAUUAGAGAUAUAGUUUGAGAAACUCAAUUCGAGGGGGUCUUCUAUAUGGAUUCAAACGCUAUUAUCCUGGAAUUCUCUCUGCAUAAAUGAAUUUUACUUAAUUGUAAUAGUUCACUUGAGCCAUUACAUUUCAACUUCCAAAAGCAGAUUUGUUAGCUUAAGUAACUUGUGGUGUAUAAGUAUAUUUGGGAGCCAAUUCAUUUAUCUGCUAAUCUUUUAUUAAAAAAAAUUUUAUUGACCUUCGACGAUCUUUCUUAGGUUGUCUGGGUAUAGAAAACUGAACUUUGAGCUUUUGCACUUGCCAUUUAUUAACUCCGUUCAUUAUCAUUACUUUCAGAAAACAGAACUGUCAAGAUAAUUGGAAGUCCAUUGUGCUUACACCAACAAAAAGUUGCUUCUGUACUGUGUGACUUCUCCCUGGCUUCCUUUGUUGGUAAACCUUAUGAGCUCUUAUAUUUCCUGCAAUCCCUGACCAUAAAAAUCCGAGGGAACAUACUUGAUGUUUUUGAUUUACAAUAUCUUGAAUUAUUUCUGCCCAAGAGUGUCAAGAAUUUA